rnacentral:rRNA from 1 species
AUUGAACGCUGGCGGCAGGCCUAACACAUGCAAGUCGAGCGGAGCGGCGGACGGGUGAGUAAUGUCUGGGAAACUGCCUGAUGGCGGGGGAUAACUACUGGAAACGGUAGCUAAUACCGCAUACUAUCAGAUUAGCCUAGGUCGGAUUAGCUAGUUGGUGGGGUAAAGGCCUACCAAGGCGACGAUCCGUAACUGGUCUGAGAGGAUGAUAAGUCAGACUGGAACGGGGACACGGUCAAGACUCCUACGGGAGGGAGCAGUGGGGAAUAUUGGGAAAGUGGCGAAAGCCUGAUCCAGCCAUGCCGCGUGUGUGAAGAAGGUCUUCGGAUUGUAAAGCACUUUAAGUUGGGAGGCGUUACCAACAGAAUAAGCACCGGCUAACUUCGUGCCAGCAGCCGCGGUAAUAC